GCCAGCAGCCAUAUCACCCUGCAACUCACAAAUGGCAACCCACUAAAGCUAAGCACGUGUGAGGCUAGUCAGUACCUGGAUGGGAGACGUCCUGGGGAAAACUAAGGUUGCUGCUGGAA
rnacentral:rRNA from 1 species